CAACGUUAAAUAUAGCAUGCCGAACAGUUGCUUUUUCUUGUCAUUGUAUACUCUGCAAUUACAGUAAAAGUGCAGACAUCAGGAAGCUGAGCAAAUCUAGGCUCGAGUUAAGGAAUCCUCAUUGGAUCCCUAACCCUGUACCCAUCUUCCUCUACCACUCUCUUCACUGCUUCAGCAUACAACACUUUCUGUACUACUCUGACAACCUCAGCCUGCCUUUCUCUCACUGGACACCUCCGAUCUUCAGUGCCAUGGCACCCCCACAGGUAACACACAACUUUCUCCACCCAUACUUUAUAUUCCUUCCUCUAAUGCCCCCCUGCACACUUCUCACAUCUAGGAAUCUCCAUAAUACACACUGCUGCAACAUGACCAUAAGCUUGGCACCUAAAACACCAUAGUAUUUUCGGAACAAAAUCUCUCAUGGGAUAACUGACACACCCUAACUUGAUCUUGUCGGGCAAAACUCAUCAGGACAAUGUCUUCUCCGUUUCACCAUGCUCUCCACCGGGUCUGCGUCGCACCAAACAGAGGGCAUCACAGACACCAGGAAUCUUCACUUUCAGCUAAUCCUCCUCAACACUUAAUGCCACCCCCGUUAUCAAUCCUUUCAACGGCGCCCUGCUUCGCAGAACAAAGCAAGUCACAGUUCUUGUCCAUAGUCGCGUGGUCCAAAGCGCACACUUCCUCUGGACGGAAGGAACACAAUAAAUCAUCACGAGUCCACUUUGCGUUACUUUCCCCUACUCAACAGUCCCCAACCUCAUCUCCACCCAACCUGACACCACAUAUGGGGUUAGACAGAAUACAAGGAUCUAUUCUCUCCACAAAUCUGACUCCCGCUGGGCCAGUAUCAUCCUUGUCAUCAUUGGGACGAGGCUCAAACUCGGCAAUCCUCACCGCAGGUACUUCAUCCUCACUCUUGUCACGUUCAAUCUCUGAACUACUGGAGCACUUGUCCCUCUUUUUGCAUUUGACACCAACCUUCCUCACCACACCACACCACUUUCCUCUACACUCAGCUCCUUCUCGGCGGUCAUCACUGCACCUGCCACCACAUUUAAUUCAUCCUCACUUUCGUCACGUUCCGUUUUCUUCUUUAGCUCUUCCAAACGCACUGUGUUAUCCUCCAUUCCAUAUUCACAAAAAACAUAUUCCCCUUUUUUUCUUGUCCGCCAUCUACUCCCUCAUCAGAUAUUCCAGAAGUCUUGUGCAAUCCCCCACUACAUAUUUAUUCAUAUGUUCCUUUUUUUUCUUAUCCGCCAUCUUCCUCUUCCGUUCCGCCGCUUGCCCCCUUUCACUGCCAUAUCUCUGGCCUAAUUCAGAUAAUGCAAGAUGUCCAGCGCUUCAAGCCAAGCCUCCUCCUCCACCCUCUCUCGCUCUCUCCCCAGCUGCAAAAUUUCAGUCACAUUUCGCACCCUACACUUCUCUGUCCAAUGCAUGUAAACAACUAUAUCUGGCCCGCUCCAUAGCAAGCUGCUCUAUCCACAUUGAUUGGUGAAGUAAUUUAAUGUGGUGUUAAAUGUAAAGAAAUAUAUAUAUAUAUAACGACUUCAGAGGUUCAAAAAGUAACAGAAAGAAACGAUAUAAACCGUUACUUGUUUUGGUUCAAACUGGUUCAGAACUUUAUUUUGCUGGUUGGAACAGUACUGGAACGGAACCCAAAAAUUUUUUUAUUUUUUUUAAUUUCACCUUUAUUUAACCAGGUAGGCAAGUUGAGAACAAGUUCUCAUUUACAAUUGCGACCUGGCCAAGAUAAAGCAAAGCAGUUUGACACAUACAACAACACAGAGUUACACAUGGAGUAAAACAAACAUACAGUCAAUAAUAUAGUAGAAAAAUAAGUCUAUAUACAAAGUGAGCAAAUGAGGUGAGAUAAGGGAGGUAAAGGCAAAAAAGGCCAUGGUGGCAAAGUAAAUACAAUAUAGGAAGUAAAACACUGGAAUAGUAGAUUUGCAGUGGAAGAAAGUGCAAAGUAGAAAUAUAAAUAAUGGGGUGCAAAGGAGCAAAAUAAAUAAAUACAGUAGGGGAAGUGGUAGUUGUUUGGGCUAAAUUAUAGAUGGGCUAUGUACAGGUGCAGUAAACUGUGAGCUGCUCUGACAGCUGGUGCUUAAAGCUAGUGAGGGAGAUACCGUAAAUUCCGGACUAUAAACCGCAACUUUUCUCCCACGCUUUGAACCACGCGGCUUAAACAAUGACGCGGCUAAUAUAUGGAUUUUUCCCGCUUUCAAAUUUUUUUCUUCCAAAAAAACACAUUCUGUGACGUGCUCAGUUUUUUGGCGGCAUGAAGCUUUCAUUAGACCAAUGAAAUUGCCGAACGGGUUAAUGUCAAACAACUUUUUUGUUUACUGUUUAGAUUAAAUCGAGCGCUCUCAAACUUCCCAUCAUUCUGAUUACGGUAGUCAUUUUGUCACCCUCAUCAUGGCAAAGACACGGAGAAAUGCAUAUGAUGCAGCUUUCAAGUUGAAGGCGAUUGAUCUGGCUGUUGGAAAAGGAAAUAGAGUUGCUGCACGAGAGCUUGGUCUUAAUGAGUCGACGAUAAGACGUUGGAAACAGCAGCGUGAGGAAUUAGCUUACAGCUAAUUUUUUAUUUUUUGUUACAAGCCGUGUUUCGUUAAGCCUAUUUAUUUUUGUUACAAGCCGUGUUUCGUUAAAGCCUAUUUAUUUUUGUUAAAGCCUGUGUAAAGUUCAUUUGUUUCAAUGUACCGGUAGGCACCUGCGGCUUAUAGACAUGUGCGGCUUAUUUAUGUUCAAAAUAAUAUAUUUUUUUUAAUUCAGUGGGUGCGGCUUAUAUUCAGGUGCGCUUAAUAGUCUGGAAAUUACGGUAAGUGUUUCCAGUUUUAGAGAUUUUUGUAGUUCGUUCCAGUCAUUGGCAGCAGAGAACUGGAAGGAGAGGCGGCCGAAGGAGGAAUUGGCUUUGGGGGUGACCAGAGAGAUAUACCUGCUGGAGCGCGUGCUACAGCAGGUGUGGUUUGUGAAGAUGGAGGGAGAGCAUCCUCAUGAGGAGAAGCAGACUGAAACUGCUUGCUGUGCAUCCCAAUGUCCCAAAGAUGGAGAGGAGAGGCAGGGACAAGGGGCUAUGUUAUGGUCCAUCCAGGAGGCAGUGGAGAGGCAGACCAUGCAGAUAGGAACGUCCGCCUGUGGGGCAACGGCCGUAGUGGACGUCCUACAGGCCCUCGGCAUCGUUGUGGCACCCGAGACGGCUGACCGGUGUGUGCGGACGUGCCUGAGGAGGAACGAGGCGCCGCUGCCUGAUUACCUGUUCUCCCGGAGCGAGGCUGGCGCCACACACGCACAGCUGAUAGCUGGGGCGGAGCAGGCUAGUGGUGGGCGCGUGCUGGGUCGCCACUUCCCCCUCCACCCUCGCCGGCGGGUGAGGCUGGUACCCUGGCUGGCACAGUGGAUCCAGAAAGGGGCAGUUCCCGUGGCCACCAUGAACAUGCAGCUGGCAGUGCCAGAGGGAGAGGAGGUUCCCGACGCAUGGCACCACCAACUCAUCUUUGGGGUCGGACCCGACACUGUCUAUAUGACCAAUCCCCUGGAUGUGGUGAGUGAGCGGGAGGUGCAUCAGCGACUCUGCAGUGAAUCUGUGUUGCUGAUACGUCGAGAGGAUGUGCUGCUGAGAUUGACAGCUGACGCCCCUCUGUCUAGCCUAUCGGACGACCAGUCUGACCCACGCUGGAAAGCCCUGGAUGUGGAGGGUCAAUUGAGGCAGAUGAUUCGUGAGGAAGACCAUGAUGAUGAAGAUCAGUUUAGGAUGAGCCAUGUCAUGAUCCCCGCAGCGUACAGUUCAGGUGUGACAGUCUUCGCCCUCAGAGAUUCAGACCAAGGACAGGAGCUUCUCCACGCCCCUGAACUCCCUUUGCUUUGAUAUGGCUGGACAGUGGACACAUCAUUACCAAAGAUCUUGCGGUGAUUGGACAAUGCAUCUUUGACCUUCCCACUAUUGUUACAUUUAUUCGGUGAGGGGAAAUGUUCAGAAACUGGUGAUAGAAAUGUCAUUAAUAGAGCUGACAUGGUUCCUUAUUCUACAGGUAAGAGAGGCUUGGCUGUUCUACAUAAUAUAUUUCUAUCUGAACAUCCCACAAUGUUGCACCCUGCUGAAUGUGCCCCAGGCGUAUUCAGUGAGGUGAAACACUCAAAAACUGAUAUAAACUAUAGAAUUGAUAGAGCUGACUCAAUUUCCUAUUCAGACAACUCAUGAUUCUGAUAUGUCUAUCUAUAAUAUUGGCCAGUCAUGUUGUACACAAUACAUUUUUAUCUGAACGUUCAGUAACGUCACUCCGACCUGAACGAGGCCCUGCUGCUGUACAGUAGGAUAUCCGUCCCUGACAGUAAUACCUUGUUUGAACACUUUUCUGGGUCGUAUUCACUGACAUCAAGCAGAAGAAAAUUAACCGAAACAGGAAGUGACUCCCUGAACUUACCCAAUAAGAAACAUUCAUUUUCCUUUUCCAUUAAAUAACGUUUUGCUACAGUAUGCACUAAUGAAUACGACCCUGAUCUUAUGUGUGUGACGUUAAGAAUAGCCUACUUGAUGUAUGCCCCUGCACCAGUGGAGGCUGCUGAGUGGAGAACGGCCCGUAAUAAUAGCUGGAACUGCGCAAAUAGAAUGGCAUCAAACACAUAGAAACCAUGUGUUUGAUGUAUUUCAUACUAUUCCACUAAUUCCGCUCCAGUCAUUACCAAGGGCCCGUCCCCCCCAAUUAAGGUGCAACCACCCCCUGUGCCCUGCACAUUGAAAUGGUUGCACAGUUUGAAACCCUUUCUACUGCAGCAGGACAAUCAACCCUAAUGCGCCACUCUGUGCAAUACCAGAUAAGCUAAAUCAUGUGGCACUGGAAUGUAAAUGUGAUGUUGUGCUCAUCUACACAGAUACAGAUUAGGUAUAUAUCUGAGUGUGCUCAUGAUUUGCAGUUUUCUGUGGUCAAGAUUUUUGGCUACAACUUAUUUGGCCAGUUUCCCAGACACAGAUUAAGCCUGGUCCUUGACUAAGAAUGAUGUUCAAUGGAGAUUCUCCAUUAACAGUAGCAGUUGAGUCCAGGACUAGGCUUGAUCUGUGUCCAGGAAACCAACCAAAUAUGAAAUUAUGUUUAAAUCAAUCAAUGUGUAUCUGUUGUCGUUCCAGGUUGUGAUGUUUGUCAUGUUAACUCCCUUUUAUUUGUAAGCUAUCAAAAUACAUAAAGAGGGUCGCACGAUCUACAUAUAAAAACUCCCAGUCAUUUCUUGGGUGAAACACCAAGGUUUCUGCAUCACUGUGCCUUCUUCAGGGUAAUGUCAUGAAUGCUUGAACCAGGUUAUGAAGACAAACGGUGCAAUUAGUGUAACCAAUGACAAUAGUGAGGGGUGUGAAUGAAUUGAGUGAAACUGUUAAAUACAGUGCAUUCGGAAAGUAUUCAGAUCCCUUCCCUUUUUCCACAUUUUGUUACAUUACAGCCUUAUUAUAAAAUGGAUUAAAUAAAAAAAUCCUCAUCAAUCUACACAAAAUACCCCAUAAUGACAAAGUGAAAACAGGUUUUUAGAAAUGUUUGCAAAUUUAUUCAAAAUGAAAAACAUAACUUAUUUACAUUAGUAUUCUUUGCUAUGAGACUCAAAUUGAGCUCAGGUGCAUCCUGUUUCCAUUGAUCAUCCUGGAGCUGUAUCUACAACUUGAUUGGGGUCCACCUGUGGUAAAUUCAAUUGAUUGGACAUGAUUUGGAAAGGCACACACCUGUCUAUAUAAGGUCCCACAAUUGACAGUGCAUGUCAGAGCAAAA
rnacentral:lncRNA from 1 species